GACGAACCGUGCGAACGUUGUUCGGAAUCACUGGGCUUGAAGGGCGCGUAGGCUGCCGGCGAGGUCCGGGGUGAAAGCCCCCCGCUCAACGGGGGAAGGGCCCCGGAUACCGGCCGGCUCGAGGGGGGUAGGGGCGUGCGGAACUUCCGGUGGAGCGGUGAAAUGCGUAGAGAUCGGAAGGAACGCCGGUGGCGAAAGCGGCGCGCUGGACCCCUCCUGACGCUGAGGCGCGAAAGCCAGGGGAGCGAACGGG
rnacentral:rRNA from 1 species